CGAAUCAACAAAAUGAAUUAGUUUGACUUUGUAUUUGGAAACUUUAUAAAAGUAAACAACUUGUUUGUGAGUAGUUUUGCUGAUUGUUAUCUAGUCAUCUUCUUUUGGUUUCUAGCACUUUGGCUAAUACGUUAUAGUCCUUCUCUUGAUGGAAAUUAAUUGUUAUCUAGUUUGAUGCAUUCAUGAAUCCCAAAAUAUUUUGCUGAAAUAAAACCUCUGAUAUUUAGGGCAAGUUUUAAUGAUGUGUUUUCUUCUGGAAUGAGUAACUUUAAAGGAAAAAAUGCCAAGUCAUAGUCACACUUUCCAAGCAUGCAUCAUUUUUAUGACAAAUUUUUUUUCUGAGCACGAAGAUUUCUUCUUAGAGCAAAAGCUUGCAGGAACAGCGGCAUGAGGGCCAAAGCCUCACAACAAGUGGGUUGUCUACAGAAGGAGCAGCUUACCUUACAUUUAUGCUGCAAUCAAGAAUAAAGGGUCCUGCUCUGUCACCUGGGCUG
rnacentral:lncRNA from 1 species